AUACGUAGGUGACAAGCGUUAUCCGGAUUUACUGGGCGUAAAGGGCGUGUAGGCGGUCUUGCAAGUCAGAAGUGAAAUUCCUGAGCUCAACUCGGGCGCUGCUUCUGAAACUGCAGGACUUGAGUGCUGGAGGGGAUAGCGGAAUUCCUAGUGGAGCGGUAAAAUGCGCAGAUAUUAGGAAGAACACCGGUGGCGAAGGCGGCUAUCUGGACAGUAACUGACGCUGAGGCGCGAAAGCGUGGGGAGCAAACAGGAUUAGAUACCCUGUUAGUCCACGCCGUAAACGAUGAAUACUAGGUGUAGGGGGUAUCGACUCCCUCUGUGCCGCAGUUAACACAAUAAGUAUUCCGCCUGGGGAGUACGGCCGCAAGGUUGAAACUCAAAUGAAUUGGCGGGG
rnacentral:rRNA from 1 species